rnacentral:tRNA from 1 species
GGGAGUAGCUGGCGGCCUGGUGGCGCUCCUGGACUUCAAAUCCAGUGGUGGGCCUAACAAGUCCACGGUGGGUUCGAUUCCCAUCUACUCCCGCCA